AUUGAACGCUGGCGGCAGGCCUAACACAUGCAAGUCGAACGAGUGGCGGACGGGUGAGUAAUGUCUGGGAAACUGCCCGAUGGCGGGGGAUAACUACUGGAAACGGUAGCUAAUACCGCAUACCAUCAGAUGUGCCCAGAUGGGAUUAGCUGGUAGGUGGGGUAAUGGCGCACAUAGGCGACGAUCCCUAGCUGGUCUGGGAGGAUGACCAGCCACCCGGGAACUGGGACCCGGCCCAGACUCCUACGGGAGGCAGCAGUGGGGAAUAUUGCACAAUGGGCGCAAGCCUGAUGCAGCCAUGCCCCGUGUAUUAAGAAGGCCUUCGGGUUGUAAAGUACUUUCAGCGAGGAGGCGUUACUCGCAGAAGAAGCACCGGCUAACUCCGUGCCAGCUGCCGCGGUAAUAC
rnacentral:rRNA from 1 species